rnacentral:lncRNA from 10 species
AGUUAAAUUUGUGCUUCUGAGUGCUUGUAUUGUAGGUGAAACCGCACUGAGAAGGUAUUUGUGGCCCGUACGCUGGUUCAUUGAUGAGACUUCUUUGCACAGGAGAGCCGCUAAAAAUUACUGUGGUGAACAGACGGAGGCCCAUUGAGGCUUCUCUGUCCUCCACGGGGACCAGCAUUGGGCUAAACCUGCAGACACCAUUGCAAAGGGAAUUCAGGCAAACCCGGUGGUGAAGAAUGAUUCCAGCGCGAGGACAGAGGCUGACAUUUCUUGCCUGGGUGAUUUAAUGUUGCGCAUCAAUUUUUCACUCCCCCCGUAAGAGUAUGACAUAGCCACAACCUUGCCAGGGCCCGAGGGAGGGUGGAUGGACUUAUCCAUCCCAUAGGUGUUGCUCGUGGCUGGGUGACUUGCUUCUGCCAAUGAGAUUUUCACAGACACGGUACAAGCAGAAGCCUGGAAUCUGUGGGCACUGCCAGGCCUGCCCUCUAAGGCUCUUGAUUUUCCCCACGAGAUGUGCGUGCUCCAGGGAACGGCGGCUCUGGCUGUGGGAUGAGAGGCGUGUGGAGCA